rnacentral:rRNA from 1 species
UACGGAGGGUGCGAGCGUUGUCCGGAAUCAUUGGGCGUAAAGGGCGCGUAGGUGGCGGGACAAGCGUGCGGUGAAAGCCUGGGGCUCAACCCCGGGUCGGCCGUGCGAACUGUUUUGCUUGAGCACUGUAGAGGCAGGCGGAAUUCCGGGUGUAGCGGUGGAAUGCGUAGAGAUCCGGAAGAACACCGGUGGCGAAGGCGGCCUGCUGGGCAGUAGCUGACACUGAUGCGCGACAGCGUGGGGAGCAAACAGG